GCGGUCGUGGCGAAAUUGGUAGACGCGCAACCUUGAGGGGGUUGUUCUUAACAGAGUGGAAGUUCAAGUCUUCUCGACCGCACCA
rnacentral:tRNA from 1 species